GAGUUUGAUCGUAGCUCAGGACGAACGCUGGCGGCGUGCUUAACACAUGCAAGUCACGGGGGCCCGCAAGGGCAACCGGCGAACGGGUGCGUAACACGUGAGCAACCUACCGAUUUGCGGGGGAUAGCUGUCCUAACGGGCAGGUAAUACCGCAUACGCUCAUCGAGUCUCCUGGCUUGAUGAGGAAACCUCCGGGGCAGAUCGAGGGGCUCGCGGCCUAUCAGCUAGUUGGCGAGGUCACGGCUCACCAAGGCGACGACGGGUAGCUGGUCUGAGAGGAUGGCCAGCCACAUUGGGACUGAGAAACGGCCCAGACUCCUACGGGAGGCAGCAGUGGGGAAUCUUGCGCAAUGGGCGAAAAGCCUGACGCAGCGACGCCGCGUGGGGGAUGACGGGUUUCGGCUUGUAAACCCCUGUUGCCCGGGACGAACUUCUCCUUUCGAGGAGAUUGACGGUACCGGGUGAGGAAGCACCGGCUAACUCUGUGCCAGCAGCCGCCGUAAU
rnacentral:rRNA from 1 species